CCUUGAAUAUGGAGAAGUAGCAGUCAUAUGCUGGAGAAUAAAUACUCUAAGCUGCUGUGGCUGAGGAGUAAGAGACAUGGGAGACAGUACAGAGGGAUGGACCUGAGAGAUAUUUGAUGAGGAACAUAAUCUCAAUUAGAACAUGGAGACAUAAGAUGGGCUCAAGAGUGAUUCACUCUAUAACAUUGCAUUCAAGACACAUCAGAGCGAACGCAGAGCAGCAAUUACUGAGAAGAAAUAUGUGCUCUUCUUCACGAACACACAUUUGAUGACUUUGCCAAUCGUCCCAGGAAACAUCCUUUGCGCUGAGAAGGCUUUACAAAGUAUACUGCUAAAACGGCUGACCCUGAGGGCUCGACCUAUGCCUACGGGAGGCCGCCGUGACCCCAAGGCUUCCUCCCAUCCCCGACAGCAGGGAUCCUGGACCGCGUACUCAGGCUGUAAAUUGCCCAGACAAAAUGGAAAUCAAAUCUUCAAACCAGUUCUGAUAAUAA